UAUCACACAUGAUGUUUGACACGAAAGAUUUUGUGAAACUGUUCCAAGCAAAGAAUGGUUAGGUUUUUGUUGGGCGUUUUGUGUCUUAUUUUCCCUUUACAGGUAGAUUCCUCCGGAAUAAAACCACACCCCUUUGUGAAAGAUGAAGUUGAUACUUUCCUGAAGCAUGUCCCUUGGGAGCAUACUGAAAUGUCGGCAUCCCUUGAUGGCCCCAUGAUUCUUACACUGAAAUCUAAAUACAAACUGGACGGAGGAAUUGUCUUCUCGAAAAAGUUUUUAACCAAAUACAAAGAUUGUGCUGACAUUUUAAAAAAGAAACCAAAUCGGAGAAAUAGAGAUGGUGUGUACACAAUUUACCCUAAAAAAGGAAUGAAAAAGAAAGUAUUCUGUGACAUGACAACAGACGACGGGGGGUAGACGGUUAUUCAAAGACGCAUGGAUGGCUCCACGGAUUUCCAAGGGAAAAAGUGGGCAGA